rnacentral:rRNA from 1 species
AGAGUUUGAUCCUGGCUCAGGAUGAACGCUAGCUACAGGCUUAACACAUGCAAGUCGAGGGGCAGCAUGGUCUUAGCUUGCUAAGGCCGAUGGCGACCGGCGCACGGGUGAGUAACACGUAUCCAACCUGCCGUCUACUCUUGGACAGCCUUCUGAAAGGAAGAUUAAUACAAGAUGGCAUCAUGAGUUCACAUGUUCACAUGAUUAAAGGUUUUCCGGUAGACGAUGGGGAUGCGUUCCAUUAGAUAGUAGGCGGGGUAACGGCCCACCUAGUCUUCGAUGGAUAGGGGUUCUGAGAGGAAGGUCCCCCACAUUGGAACUGAGACACGGUCCAAACUCCUACGGGAGGCAGCAGUGAGGAAUAUUGGUCAAUGGGCGCAGGCCUGAACCAGCCAAGUAGCGUGAAGGAUGACUGCCCUAUGGGUUGUAAACUUCUUUUAUAAAGGAAUAAAGUCGGGUAUGCAUACCCGUUUGCAUGUACUUUAUGAAUAAGGAUCGGCUAACUCCGUGCCAGCAGCCGCGGUAAUACGGAGGAUCCGAGCGUUAUCCGGAUUUAUUGGGUUUAAAGGGAGCGUAGAUGGAUGUUUAAGUCAGUUGUGAAAGUUUGCGGCUCAACCGUAAAAUUGCAGUUGAUACUGGAUAUCUUGAGUGCAGUUGAGGCAGGCGGAAUUCGUGGUGUAGCGGUGAAAUGCUUAGAUAUCACGAAGAACUCCGAUUGCGAAGGCAGCCUGCUAAGCUGCAACUGACAUUGAGGCUCGAAAGUGUGGGUAUCAAACAGGAUUAGAUACCCUGGUAGUCCACACGGUAAACGAUGAAUACUCGCUGUUUGCGAUAUACAGCAAGCGGCCAAGCGAAAGCGUUAAGUAUUCCACCUGGGGAGUACGCCGGCAACGGUGAAACUCAAAGGAAUUGACGGGGGCCCGCACAAGCGGAGGA